AUCCAGCUGACGAAUUCGAAAUAAGAUGAAACAAGCGUCCUGGAU
rfam:Schistosoma margrebowiei strain Zambia genome assembly, scaffold: SMRZ_contig0000035